rnacentral:lncRNA from 1 species
AUCAAAAGCAAGGACACACAGUACAUGAUGGAGCACUGCCCACACAGGCCAAGGAUGAUGUUUGAAAGUUGCUUUUACAGCUGCUGAGACGAUGACAGACUGCUGUCCCAGGUGUACAGAUUUACAGAGAAAAACUGGGUGGCUCCUUGUCCUCUACAAUCCACAUACCCACAGAUCAGGUUACAACCCAACGUGUGUGAAGGUGGACACCUGUGCCUGUCAGGAUCUGUAUGGAGGGAUGGCAUGGCCUGGAGCCAAGGACUGUAAACUGUGGAUUUUUAUUUUGUUGUAUAGCACGUUUUGGAUUUUCAGGGUCCUGUCAUAGAAAG